UCACCUUCAACCACGAAACACCGCUCUCCUCCGCGAUUCACCUCACCGUUCAUCUUCAUCAUCCUUCAACCACCGGCGAAACCCCUACCUCAACCGCGACGCCGCCAUUCGCCUUUCUGUCACCACCACCAUAACCUCCGUCUACCACAACUCCAACACCCUUUGAUUUUCGCCUUUUGAGCAUUUCUCCAGCAAAAAGCUAAUCCAUACAAGGGUAACACGAUACCGGUUUUUGAAAGAAGAACACAGUUCAUAUGUUCCUUCAUAAAUUACCCAGAUCAAAAGAUACAAAAGCGGAUUAACAGAGUGAUGUUGCGACUCUGCUCGAGAUAUUCCCAAUCAAAAUCGUUUUACCCUUUUAAGCUUCGAGAAGCCCUUCGACGGUUUCUAUGAGGCUCUGUUUGAGGAGCUUAACAAGUCGACCACUGUUGAUUUCUUUAUGGAGUUUGUGGGAGAAGUUACUUGUACGCAGGCAUGGCAAUCAGGAUUCACACCGAGCCCAUCAAAAGUCCAUCUUUUUUUCUUCUUCUGCAUUCGGUAGGAUUUUGAGCGGAUAAUACCUUUUGCAAACUUGAACUUGUUUGAGGUACUGAUUCCAUUUUCCUAUUGUAUUACUUUGAUAUUUGUUCCAAUUCUGAUUUAGUCAUAUUACAUAUCUCUUGUAUUGUGAGCUUCGAUUACGUGUCCAUUUGCAAUUUUGUAGACUUGUAAUUAUUGGUUGAUUUUGGUUGAUGUUUAACCCCACUUCUGUAUAAACCGAUUGGGUGAUUUCCGUUGUCUUUUGGUUUCAGCUUACAUGUUAAACUAGUGUAUGAUGGGAUAUUGAUGCAUUGUUUUUGCUUUGUUGUGUGAUACAUGAUAGGAGCUGAGGUAGUUGUACCUGUCUCUAACAUUGUAGUAUAAUGUAAACAUUGCAAAUAAUUGGGUUGUUGCUGA